rnacentral:rRNA from 1 species
GAUGAACGCUGACAGAAUGCUUAACACAUGCAAGUCUACUUGAACUUCGGUUUGGGUGGCGGACGGGUGAGUAACGCGUACAGAACUUGCCUCACAGAUAGGACAACAUUUGGAAACGAAUGCUUAUACCUGAUAUUAUGAUUUUAGGGCAUCCUAGAAUUAUGAAAGCUAUAUGCACUGUGAGAGAGCUUUGCGUCCCAUUAGCUAGUUGGAGAGGUAACGGCUCACCAAGGCGAUGAUGGGUAGCCGGCCUGAGAGGGUGAUCGGCCACAAGGGGACUGAGACACGGCCCUUACUCCUACGGGAGGCAGCAGUGGGGAAUAUUGGACAAUGGACCAAGAGUCUGAUCCAGCAAUUCUGUGUGCACGAUGAAGUUUUUCGGAAUGUAAAGUGCUUUCAGUUGGGAAGAAAAAAAUGACGGUACCAACAGAAGAAGUGACGGCUAAAUACGUG